rnacentral:tRNA from 1 species
GGGAAUGUGGCUUAGUGGUAGAGUGCUUGCCUAGCAUGCAGGAAGCCCUGGGUUCGAUUCCUCAGUACCA